UACGUAGGGGGCAAGCGUUGUCCGGAAUCAUUGGGCGUAAAGAGCGUGUAGGCGGCCAGAUAAGUCCGCUGUGAAAUCUCGAGGCUCAACUUCGAGCUGUCGGUGGAAACUGUCUGGCUAGAGUCCGGAAGAGGAGAGUGGAAUUCCUGGUGUAGCGGUGAAAUGCGCAGAUAUUAGGAAGAACACCGGUGGCGAAGGCGGCCCACUGGAUCGGUACUGACGCUGAGGUGCGAAAGCGUGGGGAGCAAACAGG
rnacentral:rRNA from 1 species